rnacentral:lncRNA from 1 species
AAUAAAUAAGAAAGAACUGGACGUAAUGUAAUGUACGGACCCAAUGAAAGUGGAGAAAGGUGGGCACAAGUGGGUUAGUCAUGCGGCCUAUAGAGUUAUUGCGGGACUGGGCCGGGCUGGCCUGCUAGCUGCUGCAACUUGGCAUAUCAGACUUGUCCUUUUUUAAUUUACUCGGUCCUCUGUUACGCGUGUUGGACUGUUGGACAUAAAUUAGUAAGCUCCAAUGAAGCAAGAUCAUUUUAUCCUCUCUUCUUUUCCGCACUCAAACCUGAUUUGUAAAUAAUAAAUAUAUAGAGUCCGGAUAAGCAUUAAAAAAAUGACUUUUUACUUAAAGUGAAAGAGUGGAUUAGAAGUGAGAAGUAAAUAGGUAGUGUUUAGAAAGAAGUAGAAGCUCUGGGAAAAAAAAUUCGUAUUCUCAACUUCUUACCGAUACUUCUUCAACUUAUUUACACAAACGGAUCAGGAAAAAAAGAAACUGGAAGCAGUUUAUGUCGGUACUGUUCAUAACAUGAGACAAAUUACUAAUUUACAUCUAAUUUAUAAAAUUAAAUAUAGUCAUGAGUGAUCUUGUUAGAUUCGUAUUCACGAGUACUUUAAUACAGUGAAGUUUUUAUAUUUAAUGCUACUACGAAAUGAAAGAUAUUAACGAUUAAAAGUGUGUGUUGGCAAACGUAAAAAAUACAAACAGGAAAAGUAUUUAGAGACGGAGGGAGUAAUUUACUAAAAAGAACCAUCUCUGUUACAUCACAUCAUAUAUGUUCAUUUUGAUUGUUAUCAGCAGUGUUCUAAAAAUCCCCGAUUUAACCGAUAAAUCCCCGAUUAAUCCCCUGCAAGGUCGGCCACCGAUCCGAUUUUUAAAAUUCGAUUAAUCCUUAUAUAUAUUUCAUAAUCGAAGUAUAUGUGAUAAAUUAUUAAAAUUAAAAUGCUAUAUUACUUUAAAUAUGAAUAAUUAUAGAGUUUAUGAAUAUAGUAAAUGUAUUAGUUAUUAAAUAACUAAUAUAAUAAUAACUAAAUAUUAAAUAAUAUUUUACUAUUUUUUUUUGAAUAAUAUUUUACUAUUAAAAUAAACCCGAUUUUAACUCCGAUUAAUCCCCGAUUUCCGACAAAAUUCGAUUAAUCCUUAUAUAUAUUUCAUAAUCGAAGUAUAUGUGAUAAAUUAUUAAAAUUAAAAUGCUAUAUUACUUUAAAUAUGAAUAAUUAUAGAGUUUAUGAAUAUAGUAAAUGUAUUAGUUAUUAAAUAACUAAUAUAAUAAUAACUAAAUAUUAAAUAAUAUUUUACUAUUUUUUUUUGAAUAAUAUUUUACUAUUAAAAUAAACCCGAUUUUAACUCCGAUUAAUCCCCGAUUUCCGAUUAAUCCUUGAAUUAGUAGCUCAACCGAUUAGGUCCGAUUCCCGAUUUCUGUAACACUGGUUAUCAGUUAAAUUGAUUAUAAUUUGAUUAAAUUUAUAUAAAUAUUAUAUAUUUAAAAAAAUGAAAUAAUUAUUGUAUGAUAAAAUACAUCUAAUAUACUUUAAAAUAUAAUUCAUAUUUUAAAAUGAUAAAUAAAUAUUUUUUGAUAUUUAGUCACAAAUUGAUCGAUUUGAAUUCCAAAAAAUUGAAAUAGAAAUGUAAUUAAGGACAGAGGGAGGAAGUAAUGUUUAGUAUCCCAGAUUAUUAUCUUCUUCCGAUAAUCACAAAGGAAAAUGAUAAGAGUAGAUUUUAGCAAGACCGUUACACUGGCAAGUGCCUAGUACGUAUUUUAUGAUAAAUAAUUAAUUAUUCAAAAAUUAGUUAUACAAUUUAUUGGAUUUAUUUUUGCAUGCAGAUAUAGUUUUACCGAUGAGAUGUUAUUUAGUCCAACAUGUCCUUAGAUUUUUAAUAUGAAUCCAAGGACACCUGAAAUCAGAUACUUCGAUUACUUUCUAGUUUCUACUAUAAACCUAAUGAUAAUUCAUAUUUUGCUGAACAAGGUCAUCUUUGAUUUUAAGAACUGAUAUUUGAUUCUGACUUGAAUUUAUAAUAGUAAAUAAUAAUAAUUUAUCAAUUAAAGAUCUGCUAUGAUUUGUUUUUCCACCAUCAAUUUAUCAUAUCGUAGUUUUAUCCACAUCAAAGACAUCAAGUGUCGACCAAAAACUUAGUAUUGGUCAAUGCUUUGUGAAAUUUCUACCGAAACAGAACAAAAACCAAAUCCUCGAGAAUCCAGGCAAUCUGCUUAGUGGGGGCGACUCUUCUAGCAAUUUGGACAGUCUUCAAAAUUGAUGUUACAUUUUCAUCUAAAAUUUCUUUAGGUUGUCAUUCAACCAGAGUCUAGAUUAUUUAUACCGUCACAUCAAUCUUACAUUGUUUAACUAAAGCCUGGCUCUUGCGUUAGUUUUUGAUGUUACUAAUUAAAGUUAAUCUUCUUAAUCAUAUCAAGAAAGAGAGUCAAAGCAACGGCUAAAUUUAAAUUACAAGACGAUAAGCAGAUUGAUUAUAAAGAGGCUUUAUAAUUUACGUCAAAGAAGAGAUACUGGAAUGUGGAGAAAUAAGAUAUUAUGAUGCUCUGUAGCUUUCAAUCAAGCAAGUAGGUCAUGAGUUAAAUCAGUUAGUGGUCCGUCCACUAAGGGAAAAAGAUGCACACAAAAGUUGUUAUGUGAACUAAUAGUUAUCAAAAAAGACUAAGGUAAAAUGAACUAACCUAUCACUUGUUGAUUUAGAGUGAGAAGAGCAUGGCCGAACUUGGAGCAAGGCUUGUAGUGAGCAUUGAUUUGAAGAAGGCGGCCUGGGAACAAAAACAGCCACUCCACAACAGAUGGCACCCCGACAUACCUCCCGUCGCAGAGGUCACAGUUGGGGAGCUUUUCAGGGUAGAGAUGGUGGAUUUUAGCGGGGGUAGAAUCACCAAGGAUUAUUCUGCACAUGACAUCAAAUAUGCUGAUCAAUCCAUAGUGAGUCAGUUUUCUGAUCAUACCAUAUAAUAAUACUAUAUACGUAGUUAUUUACAUGGAAAUCAACAGAUAAGUUAAUAAAUUUAGGGAAAUUACAACAAAAUUAAGAAAAUUUGGAAAAUAGCCCAACCAGAAUUUCUUAUUGUAAACGAAAAAAAUAAUAAUGAUUACCUUCCCUUGUAUCUGGUGUACAAAUGAACAAGGACAACUAGAUUCAUAGAAUAUGUGCUGCUCUUAGACAAUAGACAGUGAUAGCCUUAACAAUUAAGAAGAGAAAGUGACUCGGACAGACUUUAGGUGAAGUUUGGAAACAAUAAUUGAGGAUCAGUUUGGUCUAACACACAGAACUUAGGUCUGUCUAUAGACCAACUCAAUUCAUUCAAGUUAAUUCAUCCAUGGCUCCCCCGACUCCAAAACUUAUUGUAUCCAUAGACCUGAAGAAGAAGCCUUCGGAACAAGUACUACCUCUUCACAACAGGUGGCAUCCAGAAAUACCACCAGUUGCAGAGGUCAAGACCGGUGAGAUGUUCAGGGUAGAGAUGGUAGACUGGACAGGUGGUGCAAUUAAAGAUGAU